rnacentral:misc_RNA from 1 species
GAAGGGGAAGAAGAAUUUGGCUGUUGUUGCUGUUGAAGAGAAGGAAGAGGAGGAAGCGAAGGAACUUGGUAUAAUGGGUGAUGAUAGUGGUGGUUUGAGUGCUAAUAAGGCUGUUGGGCAGGAGGAGGAGGGCAAUACUGCACCUUUCCCUGAAAAGGUUCAAGUGGGAGGGUCACCUGUAUAUAAGAUAGAAAGAAAAUUGGGUAAAGGUGGAUUUGGUCAGGUGUUUGUUGGUCGUCGUGUUAAUGGUGGUACCGAACGCGCAAUGGGUCCUGGGGCCAUGGAGGUGGCUCUGAAAUUUGAGCAUAGAAACAGCAAAGGUUGUAACUAUGGCCCACCAUAUGAAUGGCAAGUAUAUAAUACUCUUGGUGGUAGUCAUGGAGUGCCAAGGGUUCAUUAUAAAGGAAGGCAAGGAGAUUAUUAUGUAAUGGUUAUGGACAUGCUAGGCCCUAGCCUUUGGGAUGUAUGGAAUUCUUCUGGGCAGGCGAUGUCCUCAGAAAUGGUAGCUUGUAUUGCUGUUGAAUCUCUAUCAAUCCUAGAGAAGAUGCAUUCCAGAGGCUAUGUGCAUGGAGAUGUAAAGCCAGAGAACUUUUUACUUGGUCAGCCAGGUACAGCACAAGAGAAGAAGUUAUUUCUUGUGGACCUUGGAUUGGCAACAAAGUGGAGAGAUAGUGGUAGUGGGC